rnacentral:rRNA from 1 species
UACGGGGGGGGCAAGCGUUGUUCGGAAUUACUGGGCGUAAAGGGCUCGUAGGCGGCCAACUAAGUCAGACGUGAAAUCCCCUCGGCUUAAACCGGGGAACUGCAUCUGAUACUGGAUGGCUUGAGAUUGGGAGAGGGAUGCGGAAUUCCAGGUGUAGCGGUGAAAUGCGUAGAUAUCGGGAGGAACACCUGUGGCGAAGGCGGCCCCCUGGUUGGAUACUGACGCUGAUACGCGAAAGCGUGGGGAGCAAACAGG